rnacentral:rRNA from 1 species
GACAGAGGGUGCAAGCGUUGUUCGGAGUCAUUGGGCGUAAAGGGUGCGUAGGUGGGCAGGUAAGUCAGUGGUGAAAUCUCCGGGCUUAACUCGGAAACUGCCGUUGAUACUAUCUGUCUUGAAUAUCGUGGAGGUUAGCGGAAUAUGUCAUGUAGCGGUGAAAUGCUUAGAUAUGACAUAGAACACCCAUUGCGAAGGCAGCUAACUACACGAUCAUUGACACUGAGGCACGAAAGCGUGGGGAGCAAACAGG